AGGCAGAAGGGAGAGUGAGUGUGGAAUCUGCCCCGAGCGGAGCCAGCACUUGACUCCCCCAGCUCCCUCUGUUUCUUUUUUUAAAGACACAAGACUGGCGCUUAACCAUCAGGUGGUUAAAUGAGAAAUAAGAUGGAGACCGCUCUGGAAAAGCAGCAGCUCUAAAACAGUCUAAAUUAGUCAAGUUGUUUUGCAGGAAAAACCAGAAGUGACUCGGGGAAAAAAAAAAUCAGAAUGAGCAAGUACUUCCGCUUAAUCAGUACCCCAACAGCUCUGAACUAGAGAACCUGCUGUAAUUGCCAGUGAAAACCUCACGUUCUUGCAGCGAAUGGCAACAUGUUUUGCCUAAUUCCUGCACUGUCAACUCAGAUGGAUGUCCUUUUAGCUAUAGCAUUUUACCCCAUUUAUUUCUUUGGCAGACAUCGCGUCUUUCUUUGCUUUCUUUUUCAUUUAGGAAUGGACAGCCUUUUUCAUUUAGGAAUGGAAACAAAGCAGUGUAUUUAUAUUGCUAAGGAAAACUUUGAGGAGGUGUUAUUAUACAGGACAGAUAACAGAGCUGUGUGCUGAAGCUUUUUACCAGGAAGAAAUGGAACAUCGAUAUUGCAGAGGACUUGGCCUGGGAACUGUGGGAAACAGGCAAGAGCCAACUUCAAACCAGUCAGCCUGAGAAGCCUAGCCUGCGAGUUCUGGUGCAGACUGGUGUCCAGUCUCCCGGAUUCCAUUCAUAGCAGGUGUAGCACCCUUUCUUCCACCAAAACUUUACUUAGAUGCACAAACAAAACUGAUGAAACAGGAGCUGGCUGAAGUGGAGGGAGGGGAUGCAUCUCCACCCAUUCUGCUCCAUCGUCCACUAGGGCUGUGCACGGACACCACAGGAUCUUCAGGACUACCGAGAGCACAGUUUGGAACCUGCCAGUUAAAUGGCCUCUAAAGUCACUUACAGCUCCAAAAUUAUUCUGCCGGAACUAUCUUUAUAUUGCAACGACAGGCAAAGCAUUCAUUAGGAUUCAUCAUCUUAUGGGAAAACAAGCGAUAAAACUAAACCAUGAGCUGGCUUCAUCCUUAUUAUCAAUGAUCUACUAAAAAAAAAAAAAAAUGCCACACCA